CCAGGAGUUGAAAGACUUCAUGAGAUGAUUGAGCUUUGAAAACAUUCAACCGUAACAUCACAGAGAAAACAUAAGCUCAUCACUUGGAAUCAGAUGCCAACACAAGAUGCGUUUUUGAGUAAUGCCUGACCAUUCUUUACUUUUUUCUCCUAAUAACUGAAAGCAACACCCACCUGAAGAAUAUUUCAGCACCUCAUGACUUGCUGGACAAUGACUUUUUCUAAAAUGAAAACUUCAACUCAACUAUGAAUAGGCAAUCAAGAAGAAAUGGACAUUUGCUGCAUGCACUGUCAAAUAGUCGACAAAUACAAUAAAAAUACUCAGCUAGUGAAUUUACUGAAAUGGCUGCUUUUAGUAUGAUGCUACGUCUUGAUCUGUGUUGUGUUGCUGAGGAGGAGGAAGCAAUGCAGAUUUGGAUUCUUUGACGCCGCUGAUUUUCUGUCUUCGUUGAACUUGGGGUGUGGGUGAUUCGAAGGAGGAUUGUUCCUGAGCUCUGCUGUGUGCAUACUAGUUGCUGGCUGAGAGAAAUACUGCCAGAAAGUUGGGAGCUGAUCACCGCUUCAGCAUCUUUUUGGAAAGUGGAGAUCUGAUGCUGUCAAAAGUUGUCAAAAAAUGCUACUUUUAUCAGAUAAACAAAUGACUACUGAUUAGUCAUCAUCCCCUGUUGAAAAUAGGACCUUACAAUGUCUUUUAACAUUUCAUGUUUAAUUAUUUAGAUUUAUUGACUAUUUACAAGCAAUACUUAAUCAUGUUAGAACGGUAAACUUUACCCCUUCUGCUGUACCCUAUUGUCUCUUACUAGUGGGAUAGCAUACUGUAAAUUCCACAGCUCUUUCAGUGAGAAGGGAAGUGUCAGAGGGCUCAGAUUCAUUGGACUGAAAGAAAUCCCAUAGAUUUAGGAAUUCUUGCAGGUGCUAGCAUUGCAGAGAGACCUUUUAGGGCAAAAACAUCUAUAUCUGUCUUAUACCAUUGUGCUCAAGGCCACUCUUCGUGUUUGUUUAUAUUCUGCACUGACUGUUGCUGAUCAUAGCUGCUGAAGUACUGAAUGACAUUAUAUAUAUUAGAUUACCAGAGUAGUAAAAAGUUGUGCAAGACUGAAAUACAAAUGGAUGUUAAUGUGAUGUUUUUAAUUUUAAUUCCCUUUCAUACAAUGAAUGAGAUGAACCAUUCAGUUUUGGUACGUUGAGAUGUUGCAAGAAGCUUUCUCAGUGCAUAAUAGUUGGUAAUUGUUUUUAAUUUCUUGCUGAGUUUUCUUAUGGUCUGUUAACAGUAGCCUUAAAAACAUCAGAAUUUGUGGAAAGUUCUUUCAAACUGUGCUCACUGUUCCAGUGUUAUAAAAUCAACCCAUACUGCUGAAAUCCUAAUUCAGAAAGCCUCGUAUCCCACUGAAUCUCGCUGGGCUGCUUUUAGUAGGCCUCAGCAUGUACUAGAUUGGGGGUGACUGGCUGGAGGAGGGGCCCAGGCCCUAAUCCUUUGUAGCUAUGGGGAGAAACAUUGACAUCCCACAGAGAAGGAAACAAGGAGGCCCCUGAGCUAGGAAGAAAUCGUCCUAGACAAAAGCCCAUUACAUGGUUGCAAAUCACCUCACUGCUGUUUUUUUUUAUUUACAAGAGUCUGCAGGAAGAUUGUUUCCUCCCUGCUAAAUUUUGAUGCUUCAUAGGUCUUAAUGCUUCACUUCUAUAGGCACUUAUCUGAAUUGCCACAUGCAGACAAUAUUCUCUCUACGAUUCUAAUUAUUUUUAAAGCUGUACACUGCUUGGUGUGGAUUCAGUUAAAAACUGGUGAUUCAGUUCACAAAGUUAUCAACUUUGAGGAACAAUUUUUUAGGUUAAGCUAAAUAAGUGCAACUGAAAUGUAUAACAAAUACUUUCCUGUUAGUAAACAAGUUAUAAUGACUGGUAAAGAAAAUUUAAUCAGCUGACAAAGAAGUUGUGUUUUGAUGUUCUUCUGCUUCUUUUAGCCUGCAUGAUCACUCACUUGCUCAUUAUUUCAGUCAUGAAAUUACUUUGUAAUGAAAUGUAUUUUGAGUAGAAAACAUUAUUUGUAGCAUUCCUAUUUCAGUUAACUUAGCUGAAAUAUUAUUUCCUUUGUCACCUCACCUGUAGAAUUUGGUC